rnacentral:tRNA from 1 species
AGAGGAUUUUGAUUUCUCAGUUGCAGGUUCAAUUCCUGU